rnacentral:lncRNA from 1 species
CGAAGUUAGUAAUUACCUGAUCCCAGGAAUUGCUCAAUAGGUCAAUCCCCUGAUCCCUUGCUAUUUUCACCUUUAUGCAGCUGUAGGGGGAAGGUGGUAGUCUACAAGCCUGCGAGAGCUAGAGUGGAGCUUCCUAUGUGACAGAAGCAGGAUGGGGCCUUCUCUGCUAAAAUUCCAUGGAAAUAAUAAUAGUAAUAUUGACUUAUUUAUGGAGGGUACACAAUCAACACCUGGCCUUGGCAAGUAACUUAACCUGAGUACCGGAUCUCAGAUAUUAUAUUGAGAUAUAUUAUACCCACCUAAUAGAAUCUUCGCUUCUGAAGACUGAAGUGAACAAGGAAAGUGCUUUAUACCAUGGCAGAGUUAUACACCACGCCGGGAGCCCUCCUACCUUUACUACAUGGGCUCAGUGUCCACGGAGAACUCCAAGCUCUGGAAAUGUCAGGAUUAGUCAAGAAGACAGUAAGAUCUCAAGUCACCACCAGCACCAAAUGAUAGAGUCAACAAUCCCAACUCCCUUUUCAGGCCCCUUAUCUAGAAAAGGGACUAUGCCCACAGUCCCACUGGGAAUUGCUUUCAGAGGAGCUGAUGAAAGCUGUGAAGGCACUGUUGCCCAACAGUGAGGGGAGUGGAAACAACUUGGCAGAACCUCUGGGAAGGCCCAUCAGGGCAUGAGAUCAGUGACCAGAGACGAGGACCACACUCCAGGGGUAGAGGCAGAACCACAUGUCAUGCCCUGCAGACUCCAGAGCUGCAUCUCCAAGACAGAGGGAGGCCUCCAGCAGACAAGAUGCGGAUGCGGGCCUUCUAAAACUCAGGUACCCUGAAAACCACUUUUUUUCCCCUAAUGAGGCAGAAACAAAAACUUAAGGAAGUUGUAAGCCACAGUGGCCAACAGAAAAGUUAGAAUGUGUCCUGCAGAACAAGCUUCUCUGCUCUCCCAAACCAGACAAACAGCUGAAGCUUGGGGACGGGAAGGGGAAGGAGCUGUGAGGUAGUGUAAAGGACUUUCUAUAAGCCAGCAGAUGACUGUGUGCAAGCUGUUGCCCUUCCAAAGGCUCAUGGGAGCCUGGGAACCUCACUGUGCAAUUCUUGUCUUUCGUCCCUCCCCUGCCUUUAAAUGGCUUGUCUCCAUGGUUCUUUGUGGUGUUUUUGUGCUGUGAUUGAGACUCUAUGACCUGUUCCAUCUCACAAGGCCAGUAAACAGAAGCGCCCUGAACCGGAAUUUGGUGAAAUGGCUGCACCCUGCUCAAGGAAGUCUGGGAAAUGUAGUCUCUAGCUGUAUGGAUGAAAUUCCAGGUGAUUUUGUUCUAAAAGGAAGAACAGAUGCUGAGAGACAGCACUCUGACACCAAGGGCUUAUAGAUCUACCAGCUUUACUUUGAAUAGUAUGUGCCCUGGUAGCACAUCUGAACAGUUAAAAUAUUAAUGCACUCUAUUUACUUAUUCGUAUAUCUCUCACAAAUGC